rnacentral:rRNA from 1 species
AAACUGAAGAGUUUGAUCAUGGCUCAGAUUGAACGCUGGCGGCAGGCCUAACACAUGCAAGUCGAGCGAGAAAGCCUUCGGGUGAGUACAGCGGCGGACGGGUGAGUAACGCGUAGGAAUCUACCUGGUAGUGGGGGACAACAUGGGGAAACUCAUGCUAAUACCGCAUACGCCCUAAGGGGGAAAGCGGGGGACCUUCGGGCCUCGCGCUAUCAGAUGAGCCUGCGUAGGAUUAGCUUGUUGGUGAGGUAAAGGCUCACCAAGGCGACGAUCCUUAGCUGGUCUGAGAGGAUGAUCAGCCACACUGG